AGGACGAACGCUGGCGGCGUGCUUAACACAUGCAAGUCGAACGGAUCAUCAGGUUUUCGGAUUUGGUGGUGAGUGGCGAACGGGUGAGUAACACGUGAGUAACCUGCCCCGGACUUUGGGAUAACGACUCGAAAGGGUUGCUAAUACCGGAUAUUGAACUGUUGCCGCAUGGUGGUGGUUUGAAAGUUUUUUCGGUUCGGGAUGGGCUCGCGGCCUAUCAGCUUGUUGGUGGGGUGAUGGCCUACCAAGGCGUCGACGGGUAGCCGGCCUGAGAGGGCGACCGGCCACACUGGGACUGAGAUACGGCCCAGACUCCUACGGGAGGCAGCAGUGGGGAAUAUUGCACAAUGGACGGAAGUCUGAUGCAGCAACGCCGCGUGCGGGAUGAAGGCCUUCGGGUUGUAAACCGCUUUCACCUCCGGCGAAUUUGACGGUAGGAGGAGAAGAAGCACCGGCUAACUACGUG
rnacentral:rRNA from 1 species